GGAAGAGCUCAGCUGGGAGAGCGCCUGCCUUGCACGUCAGGUGGUCGCGCCGGGGUCGCGCACGACUUCGAUCCCGCUUGGCUCCACCA
rnacentral:tRNA from 2 species